GCCCUCCUUGUGCUUACCACGGGCUGUGUUCUUUACACUGACUUUAUAGAAAGAGGAGGCACAGGAAGCUCACCCCAUAUACACCCCAGCCCAGCCCAGGCCCUUUCACUGGUCUGUAUUGUGACUGGAGGGACGUGG